rnacentral:rRNA from 1 species
UACGAGAGGCCCAAACGUUAUUCGGGAUUACUGGGCUUAAAGAGUUCGUAGGCGGCAUUGCAAGUAGGGUGUGAAAGCCCUCGGCUCAACCGAGGAAUUGCGCUCUAAACUGCAGUGCUUGAGGAACCUAGAGGUGAGCAGAACAGAUGGUGGAGCGGUGAAAUGCGUUGAUAUCAUCUGGAAUACCGGAGGCGAAGGCGGCUCACUGGGAGUUUUCUGACGCUGAGGAACGAAAGCCAGGGUAGCGAACGGG